rnacentral:lncRNA from 1 species
AUGUGUUGUUCGAAAAUUUUUCAAACUGACAUGAGUUGAAAUCAACUUUAAUGAAUAAAAGAACUUCUAGUUUAGGUUUUUUUUUGUUUUUUUGUUUUUUUGUUUUUUUUUUUUGAGAUAGGGAUUCUCUGUGUAAUCGUCGCCAUCUUGGAACUUGCUCUGUAAAUUGGGCUGGUCUCCAACUCAGGGGAUCCACCUGCCUGUGCCUCCCUAGUCCUGGGCUUAAAGGUGUGUGCCAUUACUCCCUACUAUGGCUAAGAAUUUUUAAAUUUUAAAAAGCUAAACAAGACUGGUGAUGGUAUCACACACCUUUAAUCCCAGCACACUGUAGACAGAGGCAUGCAGAUCUCUGUGAAUUUGAGGCCAGCUUAUUCUAUAGAGCAAAGUUCUAGGACACCAAAGGAUACACAGAGAAAUCCUGUCUUGAAAAGCACGCCCCCCCCCAAAAAAAAAAAAGAAAAGG